rnacentral:rRNA from 1 species
ACAUGAUUCCAUGCUUCCAAGAAAAGCAUCUAGAGAGAGAAGUAGUGCCCGUACCGCAAACCGACACAGGUAGAUGAGGAGAGAAUCCUAAGGCCGGCGGAAGAAUUGCAGUUAAGGAACUAGGCAAAUUGACCCCGUAAGUUCGCGAGAAGGGGUGCCUGCGAGAGCAGGCCGCAGAGAAUAGGCCCAAGCAACUGUUUAGCAAAAACACAGGUCUCUGCUAAAGCGUAAGCUGAUGUAUAGGGGCCGACGCCUGCCCGGUGCUGGAAGGUUAAGGGGAACACUUAGCGCAAGCGAAGGUGUGAACUUAAGCCCCAGUAAACGGCGGCCGUAACGAUAACGGUCCUAAGGUAGCGAAAUUCCUUGUCAGGUAAGUUCUGACCCGCACGAAUGGCGUAAUGACUUGGGCACUGUCUCAACUGCAAAUCCGGCGAAGUUGUAGUGCGAGUGAAGAUGCUCGCUACCCGCGAUUGGACGGAAAGACCCCGUAGAGCUUUACUGUAGCUUAGCAUUGAAUUCCGGUAUUGUCUGUACAGGAUAGGUGGGAGACUGGGAAACUAGGGCGUCAGCCUUAGUGGAGUCAACCUUGGGAUACCACCCUGACAGUACUGGGGUUCUAACAGGACGCCAUGAAGCUGGUGACUGGACAUUGUUAGGUGGGCAGUUUGACUGGGGCGGUCGCCUCCUAAAAAGUAACGGAGGCGCCCAAAGGUUCCCUCAGAACGGUCGGAAAUCGUUCGUAGAGUGCAAAGGCAGAAGGGAGCCUGACUGCGAGAUCCACAAGUCGAGCAGGGACGAAAGUCGGGCUUAGUGAUCCGGUGGUACCUCGUGGGAGGGCCAUCGCUCAACGGAUAAAAGCUACCUCGGGGAUAACAGGCUGAUCUCCCCCAAGAGUCCACAUCGACGGGGAGGUUUGGCACCUCGAUGUCGGCUCGUCGCAUCCUGGGGCUGUAGUAGGUCCCAAGGGUUGGGCUGUUCGCCCAUUAAAGCGGCACGCGAGCUGGGUUCAGAACGUCGUGAGACAGUUCGGUCCCUAUCCGUCGCGGGCGUAGGAAAUUUGAGAGGAGCUGUCCUUAGUACGAGAGGACCGGGAUGGACUGACCUCUGGUGCACCAGUUGUUCUGCCAAGAGCAUGGCUGGGUAGCUAAGUCGGGAAGGGAUAAACGCUGAAAGCAUCUAAGCGUGAAGCCCCCCUCAAGAUGAGAUUUCCCAUAGCAUAAGCUAGUAAGACCCCUUGAAGAACACAAGGUUGAUAGGUCAGAGGUGGAAGUGCGGUAACGUAUGUAGCUGACUGAUACUAAUAGGUCGAGGGCUUGACC